rnacentral:rRNA from 1 species
GGGUUGUGAGGUUAAGCGACUAAGCGUACACGGUGGAUGCCCUGGCAGUCAGAGGCGAUGAAGGACGUGCUAAUCUGCGAUAAGCGCCGGUAAGGUGAUAUGAACCGUUAUAACCGGCGAUUUCCGAAUGGGGAAACCCAGUGUGAUUCGUCACACUAUCAUUAACUGAAUCCAUAGGUUAAUGAGGCGAACCGGGGGAACUGAAACAUCUAAGUACCCCGAGGAAAAGAAAUCAACCGAGAUUCCCCCAGUAGCGGCGAGCGAACGGGGAGGAGCCCAGAGCCUGAAUCAGCAUGUGUGUUAGUGGAAGCGUCUGGAAAGGCGCGCGAUACAGGGUGACAGCCCCGUACACAAAAGCGCAUGUGCUGUGAGCUCGAUGAGUAGGGCGGGACACGUGGUAUCCUGUCUGAAUAUGGGGGACCAUCCUCCAAGGCUAAAUACUCCUGACUGACCGAUAGUGAACCAGUACCGUGAGGGAAAGGCGAAAAGAACCCCGGCGAGGGGAGUGAAAAAGAACCUGAAACCGUGUACGUACAAGCAGUGGGAGCACCCUUCGGGGUGUGACUGCGUACCUUUUGUAUAAUGGGUCAGCGACUUAUAUUCUGUAGCAAGGUUAACCGUAUAGGGGAGCCGGAGGGAAACCGAGUCUUAACCGGGCGUUAAGUUGCAGGGUAUAGACCCGAAACCCGGUGAUCUAGCCAUGGGCAGGUUGAAGGUUGGGUAACACUAACUGGAGGACCGAACCGACUAAUGUUGAAAAAUUAGCGGAUGACCUGUGGCUGGGGGUGAAAGGCCAAUCAAACCGGGAGAUAGCUGGUUCUCCCCGAAAGCUAUUUAGGUAGCGCCUCGUGAAUUCAUCUCCGGGGGUAGAGCACUGUUUCGGCUAGGGGGCCAUCCCGGCUUACCAACCCGAUGCAAACUGCGAAUACCGGAGAAUGUUAUCACGGGAGACACACGGCGGGUGCUAACGUCCGUCGUGAAGAGGGAAACAACCCAGACCGCCAGCUAAGGUCCCAAAGUCAUGGUUAAGUGGGAAACGAUGUGGGAAGGCCCAGACAGCCAGGAUGUUGGCUUAGAAGCAGCCAUCAUUUAAAGAAAGCGUAAUAGCUCACUGGUCGAGUCGGCCUGCGCGGAAGAUGUAACGGGGCUAAACCAUGCACCGAAGCUGCGGCAGCGACGCUGAUGCGUUGUUGGGUAGGGGAGCGUUCUGUAAGCCUGCGAAGGUGACCUGUGAGGGUUGCUGGAGGUAUCAGAAGUGCGAAUGCUGACAUAAGUAACGAUAAAGCGGGUGAAAAGCCCGCUCGCCGGAAGACCAAGGGUUCCUGUCCAACGUUAAUCGGGGCAGGGUGAGUCGACCCCUAAGGCGAGGCCGAAAGGCGUAGUCGAUGGGAAACGGGUUAAUAUUCCCGUACUUGGUGUUACUGCGAAGGGGGGACGGAGAAGGCUAUGUUGGCCGGGCGACGGUUGUCCCGGUUUAAGCGUGUAGGUGUGUGUUCCAGGUAAAUCCGGUUCACUUUAACACUGAGGCGUGAUGACGAGGCACUACGGUGCUGAAGCAACAAAUGCCCUGCUUCCAGGAAAAGCCUCUAAGCAUCAGGUAACAUCAAAUCGUACCCCAAACCGACACAGGUGGUCAGGUAGAGAAUACCAAGGCGCUUGAGAGAACUCGGGUGAAGGAACUAGGCAAAAUGGUGCCGUAACUUCGGGAGAAGGCACGCUGACACGUAGGUGAAGUGAUUUACUCACGGAGCUGAAGUCAGUCGAAGAUACCAGCUGGCUGCAACUGUUUAUUAAAAACACAGCACUGUGCAAACACGAAAGUGGACGUAUACGGUGUGACGCCUGCCCGGUGCCGGAAGGUUAAUUGAUGGGGUCAGCGCAAGCGAAGCUCCUGAUCGAAGCCCCGGUAAACGGCGGCCGUAACUAUAACGGUCCUAAGGUAGCGAAAUUCCUUGUCGGGUAAGUUCCGACCUGCACGAAUGGCGUAAUGAUGGCCAGGCUGUCUCCACCCGAGACUCAGUGAAAUUGAACUCGCUGUGAAGAUGCAGUGUACCCGCGGCAAGACGGAAAGACCCCGUGAACCUUUACUAUAGCUUGACACUGAACAUUGAGCCUUGAUGUGUAGGAUAGGUGGGAGGCUUUGAAGUGUGGACGCCAGUCUGCAUGGAGCCGACCUUGAAAUACCACCCUUUAAUGUUUGAUGUUCUAACGUGGACCCGUAAUCCGGGUUGCGGACAGUGUCUGGUGGGUAGUUUGACUGGGGCGGUCUCCUCCUAAAGAGUAACGGAGGAGCACGAAGGUUGGCUAAUCCUGGUCGGACAUCAGGAGGUUAGUGCAAUGGCAUAAGCCAGCUUGACUGCGAGCGUGACGGCGCGAGCAGGUGCGAAAGCAGGUCAUAGUGAUCCGGUGGUUCUGAAUGGAAGGGCCAUCGCUCAACGGAUAAAAGGUACUCCGGGGAUAACAGGCUGAUACCGCCCAAGAGUUCAUAUCGACGGCGGUGUUUGGCACCUCGAUGUCGGCUCAUCACAUCCUGGGGCUGAAGUAGGUCCCAAGGGUAUGGCUGUUCGCCAUUUAAAGUGGUACGCGAGCUGGGUUUAGAACGUCGUGAGACAGUUCGGUCCCUAUCUGCCGUGGGCGCUGGAGAACUGAGGGGGGCUGCUCCUAGUACGAGAGGACCGGAGUGGACGCAUCACUGGUGUUCGGGUUGUCAUGCCAAUGGCACUGCCCGGUAGCUAAAUGCGGAAGAGAUAAGUGCUGAAAGCAUCUAAGCACGAAACUUGCCCCGAGAUGAGUUCUCCCUGAGACUUAGAGUCUCCUGAAGGAACGUUGAAGACGACGACGUUGAUAGGCCGGGUGUGUAAGCGCAGCGAUGCGUUGAGCUAACCGGUACUAAUGAACCGUGAGGCUUAACCUUACAACGCCGAAG